UACGUAGGGUCCGAGCGUUGUCCGGAAUUAUUGGGCGUAAAGAGCUCGUAGGCGGCCUGUCGCGUCGGCUGUGAAAACUCAGGGCUCAACCCUGAGCCUGCAGUCGAUACGGGCAGGCUAGAGUCCGGCAGGGGAGACUGGAAUUCCUGGUGUAGCGGUGAAAUGCGCAGAUAUCAGGAGGAACACCGGUGGCGAAGGCGGGUCUCUGGGCCGGAACUGACGCUGAGGAGCGAAAGCGUGGGGAGCGAACAGG
rnacentral:rRNA from 1 species